CGCACCGGCACGGAGGCUAGGGGUGCGGUUGCUGUCCUCCCGGCGCGGGGGUCAGGGUGGGGCCCUUUGGCGUGGGGUGCCACCUCUCCCGGAGGCCGGGCCUCCGCCGCGGCUCCCUCCCCCUAUUGGCGCUCGAUCUGCUAGGUGUGCGCUAUCCUCCCUUGCUUCCUUCCCCCUCUCUCCUACACUGAUUGUGUUCUGGUGUGGUUGGGAGUCGGAGAAAUGAGAGUCAUCCAGUAGCUACACAUUCGAGAUCCAACUAGGAUCCCAUCGACUGUUCACCACUCGAGAAGAUUGAGCGUGGAUGUGAGCAGGCAAAGAGGCCAUUUGCGUUUCUGUGGUCCGACAUGCGCAUCGCAUAUGGUAUAGUAGCAUCAGCAUCCAGCUUUUACAGCCACCGGUAGUAGCCCUUUUACCUUGUGAAAUCACAACAACAGUGUGUGACUGUCUUGUAUAGGCAUUUUAAUGUUGACUCUCAUUAAAACUGUUCUACGAAGGCAAUAAUAUUGAUUCCUAAUAAGCAAUUUUAUUGUUAUAUCUAGGCAUAACAAUACAUUUGUUUAAACAAUUUUUGUCUAGGCAAUUUUAUGUCAAAUUACUGAGCUAAUCCAUAUCUAAUUGAUGCAUGCGUUCUCCUUGCAGUAGAUCAGCUCAUCAAUGCAUCCUCUGCCCAAUCUCUGGAUGGUGCUGGAUCCAAUGUCCAAAAGACAACCUCAGAACUCUAGAACUAUGCCUGAUAAAUCUUGUGCAGAGCAAGGUGGAAAGGCUUGGCAAUUUGAGUGGUAAUGGAUCUUUACAUACUGCUUGGACAUGAGUUAGGCUACUGUCAUACAAAACUGCAACUAAUAGAGGUGAACUGUACUAGUUAGUUUUUGCACUGGUGCUCUGUUAUCUAAUGCAUAUAGGCACAUAUAACAUGAUUAUUCACUUCAUUUAUACAGUUCAAGCUUGAAUUCUUGAAUCUUAUGGCUUCAUUCCUUUGGAGAUUGUAACUCAGCUAGCUUUGGCCAAGGCGCUCGCGGCGGCGGCCCUCGGCGAAGGCCUGUGCAGCGGCAACCCCUGCAGAGGCCUGCUCAUUUGCCUCCAGGGCCCACGGCAGUGGCCCUCCUUCUUGGAUGUGCAUGGCGACGACUUCAGGCAAGGGAUUUGCAGCCGCACUGCCUGCGUUGUGCUGCCCCCGGGGGGCAAGCUCCCUAGCUCUCUCUCUCAAGUAGUUGGUAUACUAUCACUUUUGGGAGUUCUGCACCGGUAUUACUGGUUAGGCAAUAAUAUAGUUCCAAUUAGGCAAUAAUAUAGUCCUGAAAUAGGUACAAUAAUAUAUUUUAUUAGGUAAUAAAAGUUCUUAUAUACAAUAAAUUAGUCGUGGUACCAUACGGCCACAAUCUGUUUGAAUUUUCUCUCAUGUUUACACAAAUAAUUUUUUAGUGUUUGUGAUCUUUAGCAAUUUUGUAUGCUAUGAUGAUCUGCCAUUUUCUACUGAUUUUAACUCCUAAUCGGUGCUUGUGCUAGAUCAGGCUCGCACGAAGCCAAUGAUGCAACGAAUCCAUGCCUUUUUUUUUGGUGCUAGAGGAUGAGGGGUUACGAGUUGUUUUGUGUAUAUUUAGAUUAGACUUGUCAUUUGGUUUAUAGUAUCAAGUUAGAUAUGUAGACUAUUUGCUUUUCUUUUCCAAAGCUGGAGUUCAUGAUAGAUAAUGAUAAUGAUAGCAUGAUUUUAUGUGAGCUAGGGAAAGUACUGUUUUUAGUUGGGCAAAGUAAUACUUUUAGUUAGGAAUUUUUUUGUUUACGAACAAGCAAAACAAUAAUUUGACAAGGUAAUUUUUGUUGCCUUAGUUUUCUUCUAGUGCAUCUGUUGAUUAUCAGGAUACAGAAGCUAGUUAUUCACAUCAUCCAACUAAUUUUUUCUUAAUUUAUCCUUUUAUUAUGUGCUGCAUACUAACUGAUUUGGUGCUUUUCUCCUUGUUAUAUUGUAGGUCAGAAAGAAGCUCAUUUGUUUAUGUAGGUAGUAACUCUUCUAUGAGAUGCCCGUGCAGUCCGAUGAAUCUUCACAUUCAAUUUCGUUCAUGAUGUAUAUUUAGGUUCAGGGCAGGGGUGCGUGGCAAAUUUGUUUGCGUAAUUUAGCAUGUUGUGAACACCAAUUUUGGUAAACUAGGUUCAUGUAUUUGCACACGACGAGAUCUGUCAUUCUAUACUGUGCAUUAUUUUUGGUUCUGGG